ACAAUAACUCCGCCUGUAGCUCUUCUAGAGUUACUGCCGGUCCCAAGCCCACACAAAGGAGGAGGGUUGG
ncrna:Schistosoma mansoni type-P1 twister ribozyme